rnacentral:tRNA from 1 species
GCACCCGUAGCUCAGUUGGAUAGAGUGUCGCCCUCCGAAGGCGAAGGUCACAGGUUCAAUUCCUGUCGGGUGCG